rnacentral:rRNA from 1 species
UGGGGGAUAUUGCACAAUGGGCGAAAGCCUGAUGCAGCGACGCCGCGUGGGGGAUGAAGGCCUUCGGGUUGUAAACUUCUUUUGCUCUGAACAAGGCAUGCUAAUGGGUGUGUUGAGUGUAGGGGUUGAUUAGCGCCGGCUAACUACGUGCCAGCAGCCGCGGUAAUACGUAGGGCGCGAGCGUUGUCCGGAAUUAUUGGGCGUACAGGGCUUGUAGGUGGCUGGUUGCGUCUGUCGUGAAAGCUCAUGGCUUAACUGUGGGUUUGCGGUGGGUACGGGCUGGCUUGAGUGCAGUAGGGGAGGCUGGAAUUCCUGGUGUAGCGGUGGAAUGCGCAGAUAUCAGGAGGAAUACCGGUGGCGAAGGCGGGUCGCUGGGCUGUUACUGACACUGAGGAGCGAAAGCAUGGGGAGCGAACAGG